UACGGGAGGCAGCAGUGAGGAAUAUUGGUCAAUGGACGCGAGUCUGAACCAGCCAAGUAGCGUGAAGGAUGACUGCCCUAUGGGUUGUAAACUUCUUUUAUAUGGGAAUAAAGUGGUCCACGUGUGGAUUUUUGUAUGUACCAUAUGAAUAAGGAUCGGCUAACUCCGUGCCAGCAGCCGCGGUAAUACGGAGGAUCCGAGCGUUAUCCGGAUUUAUUGGGUUUAAAGGGAGCGUAGGCGGAUUGUUAAGUCAGUUGUGAAAGUUUGCGGCUCAACCGUAAAAUUGCAGUUGAUACUGGCAGUCUUGAGUGCAGUAGAGGNGGGCGGAAUUCGUGGUGUAGCGGUGAAAUGCUUAGAUAUCACGAAGAACUCCGAUUGCGAAGGCAGCUCACUGGANUGNAACUGACGCUGAUGCUCGAAAGUGUGGGUAUCAAACAGGAUUAGAUACCCUGGUAGUCCACACAGUAAACGAUGAAUACUCGCUGUUUGCGAUAUACAGNAAGCGGCCAAGCGAAAGCAUUAAGUAUUCCACCUGGGGAGUACGCCGGCAACGGUGAAACUCAAAGGAAAUUGACGGA
rnacentral:rRNA from 1 species